GCAGGCAAACAUAAACACCCUAAAGGCAAGCGUAAACAAAUACCCAUCUGACUUUGGAAGUUAAGCAGGUCAGCCCUGCUUAGUACUUGACUGAGAGACUGCCAAGGAAUAGUAGAUGCUGCCGGCU
rnacentral:rRNA from 11 species